CAGGACUUGGCCGCGCUGUAGGCCCAGAAGGGAAGGGUCAGGAGGAAGAGGAUGUCUGCCACCGCCAGGUUGAGCAGAUCCCAAUCAGCAGGACUCAGCUGCUGGAGCUUUUUUUAGCCGUCUGCAGGGUCGGGUGAAGGUUCAGCAGCCUGCUGUGAUUUUAUCAAUGAAGGAGGGGGUCCAUGCCUGCCCCUGCCUCUGCGCACAGCGAUGGACGGGUUUGUGCAGGGCAGGGAGCUGGGCUGGAGGACCUGCCUCACGAGGCUCAUGGUUCUAUCACCAGGAACCAGAUUCAGCAGCUCAGCGACGGUGGGUUUCUAUCCAUUUAUGCUGGAGGGAUUCACCGCAUCUUGUCUCUAUCUCUUUUUCACACCCAGGUUCUGGAUUCAUCACUGUCCUGCUUGGGAACAUGGUGAGGACAAAAUGAUGUCCAGGAGCCUUUUCUUUGGCCAUUGCUAGCCUGAGACGAAAAGUCAGUGGCAACCCCUCUUCCCUUUCCUGGGCAUGGCUGCAGCCUGGGAGCCCUGAAGGAGGCUGCUGCCUUUGGCCCAGCCAUGGUUACGGCCCAAGGCCUUAGACCCGGGGUCCCUGGACAUGAGGGGGUCUCAGCCUUCCUGGAGGGCAGUACUCCCGGCCUCUAUGAAGUGCACUCUGCAUCAUCCAGUCCUGCCUUCCCUUCUCCCCUUGAACCUUGUUCCUGUUUUAUAAUUCUCCCUCCCCUAGCCUCACUGCCUCUGCAGCCCACAGCCCCACCACAUCCUGCCCUAUCUGAGCACCCCCUCCCCAAGUGAAAGGGAAGAAUGAGCCUCAGCUGUCCUCCUCCCCUUCCCACCCUUCCAGCCUCCACUGCCAGCAAUACAGCCCCCCAGAGUCCUGGAGACAGGGGAGAGAGAGGAGGGAGUGGUGAUGGGGAAGGGGGCCAGGCUAUGGGCUGCAGCCCAGGCUCCGGGGGGCCUCUGGGAUGGGGUUUUGGGAACAGUGCCCAGCUUGGGGCCUGCCUCUGGCCUGAGCUUCUGGAAAGCUGCCCCUCUGGCCUCCAGACCUGGGGAUGAGCCGAAUUCUGAAGCACUGCCUCUCUAGCUCUGGCCUCAGUUGGACUCCCCUACCCCUACUCUGAGCUCCCACCUCUAACAAAUGGGAGAAAGUUGACUCUGCGAGUUACAGUUUCUUCUAACUUUGGCACUUGGUGAGGCACACUUUCUGUCUGUUUCUGGAUGGAGAAACAGAACUUUGUAAAGUGAGGGUCUUUGUUCCUGCCGAGUUCAGGCCUGCUAUAAAGUGUGUGCUCAUCCACCCCUCUCCCCAUCCCUAGGGCCCCAUCCUCUCUUCCCUCCCCUGCCAGGGAGGCCGGAUGGGUCUCUAUUUCACCAAAGAAAACGGGGGCUGCGAGGGAAGCCUUUGGGUGAAGGUUGGAAAGAGACAACUUUGGGGCGAUAGGAUAGUAACAAGAUCGCCAGAUCCAGGGUGAUUUUCUCAGCACACGUGCACAAAACCCAGUAACAUUUUUUGCUUUUUGCAGCUCUUCUCUCUCUAAGAACUCAGAGUCCAUAUUUCUGUCUCCUGGGCAGGGAGAUUGGAGGUGGGAUAGGGAAGGUGGUAAGUUAUUUUCCCCCAUGUUUUAACCUAAAUGGAGUAAAGGAAGUCCAGAGAACAUCUGUGGCUCUCCAGGGUCACUCAGCAGAUGGUGAGGGGGCAGCCAUUAGCUUAAUGAGUGGCAGGCGGGCUUAUGUCUGGGUCUUGUAUCUUCUAGCAAAUGCCCAGCUCCUCCACUAAACCCCUGACUUGGGAGGCCGUGUGGAGAAGGGAACAGAGCUUUCCUUGGCAGAGAACCUCACCUGGAAAAUGACAAGGAGAGCCACCACCAGCACGCUUUUCAUUGGUUUCCCUGUAGGAGACAAGGCGAGAAAGUUAUUGCUUGGCAGGGACAAGUCUUUGUUAUUAAAGAAAGCAGUGGAGGGGGAGACGCUGUUGGGAACUUUCCUCCCAAGCUCCAGGCACUGUGUUUGCUGAAAGAGAACAUCAGAACCAGAUUGUGCCUUUGAACACCUGGCCUGCUGCCCGGCAUCACUGUCCUCACCUCCUUCUUGUCCUCCUCCACUCCCAGGUCCUGGAAAGAAGCAGCAUCAGAAUGCAGGGCAGCCCCUCCCACCCCCUGUCUUGGCCCAUCUGGGCUGCUUCUUGGAGCUGGGAAGUCUUCUCUAGCCCAGACCACCCCUCAAGACUGAGCUUGGUUGGUGGGUCUGAGUGCCCCCUCCCACUCCACCUGAUGUGGGAUGAGGCGGCAAAGCUAUGAGGUCGUGGGGUAGGUGCACACGUUUCCAGCCCUGCUUUGGUGCUGGUAGCCACUGGCCCAGGAGCAUUUUCCUGGCAUCCAGGUGAGUGCGCAGCCACACGUGCAUGAAGCCAAGCCUGAGUGUCUCCUGAGGGAGGUGGGCUGAGGAAGGAGGAUGACCUCACAGGCUGGGUAGAGGGAUGAGGUUCCUUACUGGUCCACAGCGAUGGAGACUGCCUCAGGGCUCCACCAGCUCCACAACACCCCCUCACUGAAAUGACAUUCAUUCAGCACUGACUGUUGGUCCACUGGGCGCACACCCUUGGCCUGCCUUUGGGACAGAGAUCCCUUCCCUUUUAUCUUGUGCAGGCCCAGAAUUGAGGAGGUGCCCCACAAUUGUGUGCUGAUGAAUAUAUGAAUGAUAAAUACAUGAAUGAUGAAUAAAUACAUGAAUGACAAGUAAACGAAUGCCUGUCCUUUUUCCAAGGGAGAGGGCAUCAA
rnacentral:lncRNA from 1 species